rnacentral:sRNA from 1 species
GCAGGGGGAGAGAGACCUUCUGUGGUAAACGGGGACUCUGGAAAGUCAGGUGGUGUGGGUGAUCCCCGUGAGCCAUUAGGCUGCCUGCAGGAGGGCUCUGGCUGCCACCCAACAACAGAGAGCUUUGAGAAAAGCGUGCGAGAGGACGCCUCACCUCUGCCCCACGUCUGUUGCUGCAAACAAGAUGCUCUCAUCCUGCAGCGUGGCCUUCAUCAUGAAGACGGCAGCCAGCACAUCGGCCUCCUGCAUCCUGGGGACAGAGGGCCUGACCAUGAGUACGUGCUGGUCGAGGAAGCGGAGUGUGCCAUGAGCGAGAGGGAGGCUGCCCCAAAUGAGGAAUUGGUGCAAAGAAACAGGUUAAUAUGCAGAAGAAAUCCAUAUAGGAUCUUUGAGUAUUUGCAGCUCAGCCUGGAAGAGGUAUGUUUUCAACAUAUUAUCAUUUCAGCCAUCGGUCUCUGGGCCUGAACUACACUGUAUGUGAACCUACCUCACAGUGUAGUUCUGUAUGUAAUUCAAUUAUUGAAUAUUGUAAUUCAGUAUUGAAAUCACUAUGGGUAGCUCCCAAGUAGGCCUGCCUUUCACUCCUCAGCCUUUAUUUCAUCAGUUCUAAGAUAUGUGUUUGCAAUCAUUCCACAGAAGAUUCGAGGGGUUUUUCUGAGUACUUCUUUUCUCAUUAAGAUUUUAGAUUGUUAGGCCGGGUGCGGGGGCUCACACCUGUGAUCCCAGCGCUUUGGGAGGCCAAGGCAGGAGGAUCACCUGA